rnacentral:rRNA from 1 species
GAACGGGCCAACGAGUUACGUUAAGUAGCAAGGUUAAGCACUUAAGGUGCGGAGCCGUAGCGAAAGCGAGUUUUAACUGAGCGUUCAGUUACUUGACGUAGACCCGAAACCGGGCGACCUACCCAUGAGCAGGCUGAAGCGAAAGUAAAAUUUCGUGGAGGUCCGAACCCACGAGCGUUGAAAAGCUCGGGGAUGACGUGUGGGUAGCGGUGAAAUUCCAAUCGAGCCCGGAGAUAGCUGGUUCUCCCCGAAAUAGCUUUAGGGCUAGCCUCAAGGUGAGAGAUACGGAGGUAGAGCACUGAAUGUCCUAGGGGGUAUUGCACCUA